AGAGGGUGCGAGCGUUAAUCGGAUUUACUGGGCGUAAAGCGUGCGUAGGCGGCUUUUAAGUCGGAUGUGAAAUCCCUGAGCUUAACUUAGGAAUUGCAUUCGAUACUGGAAAGCUAGAGUAUGGGAGAGGAUGGUAGAAUUCCAGGUGUAGCGGUGAAAUGCGUAGAGAUCUGGAGGAAUACCGAUGGCGAAGGCAGCCAUCUGGCCUAAUACUGACGCUGAGGUACGAAAGCAUGGGGAGCAAACAGGAUUAGAUACCCUGGUAGUCCAUGCCGUAAACGAUGUCUACUAGCCGUUGGGGCCUUUGAGGCUUUAGUGGCGCAGCUAACGCGAUAAGUAGACCGCCUGGGCAGUACGGUCGCAAGACUA
rnacentral:rRNA from 1 species